GUCAAAAGACUAUUAACGUAAUGAUUUUGUAUUUGUUUUCCUUCAUAUUAGUUUUAGUCCAUCAUAUACUCUGAAAUAUUGGAGGAAAACAAAACAGCAUGGUAAACACAUACUUUUCGAGGCGGCGCCAAGAUAUUUGUAAAUUUUAGACAGAAGAUACUCAUAUUGACAUGUGCCCACAUGAUUUAGCACAUAUACCAUGGCGCUUGGGAGCCUAUUGACGUGGAUACGGUGAACAGCCUCUAUGGCAUUCAUUGGUAUUGCCCCACUCCGAGGUCUUUCGCGGCGUCAACUAUAGCAAAAAUCCUUGUCGUCGAUGGUGUAUGUGAGACAGAUUGCCCUGAGGACUGAGACCAAAGGCCGUAGCAUCUCUCUACCUGUACAUGACCGUCAAUGCAGUUAAAGAAGACAAUGUAUGUUCAUUGCCGUAUAUGUCUGCCUACCCAUGAUAACAUCUAAUUACUUAGUUACAUUUCAAUCAAGUAUAUUUCAUAGCCAAAAUAUAUUAAUUAAUAUAAUCACCUAAAUCACUAAGCUCCCUGUGGCGUGGAGCGCUGAGAAUCGGUUGACUCCAAUCCAUUUCAUUGCUAACUCCAAUCAGGGUCGUUUUUCUUCCUGUUUCCUUUCUUUCUUUUUUAUCAAAACGAACAAACGUUGAAUUUCUUAAAUCAUUUUUUAAAACAUGAAUAAUUUUUAAAACAGGGAACAAAUUUGAAAAUGCGAACAAGUUUUAAAGGACGGACAUUUUUUGAAUCUUGAGAACAAAUUUUUAAACAAAGAAUAAUUUUAAAAAAUCACGUACGAAUUUGGGACCACGAACGAAAUUUUAAAGCGUGAACAAGUUUUUAAAAGCACAAACAAUUUUUAAAUCGUGAGAAUAAUUUUUUAAAAUGGGAAAAAUUCUAGAAAAUCCUGAAAAAAAUCAUAAACGUGAACAAUUUUAGAAAAUACGAACAUUUUUGAAUUUUGAGAACAAAUUUUAAAUAACAAGAACAUUUUUCAAAAAAAACAUUGACAAAUCCAUAACAUUUCUUAGAAAAUUGUGAACAUUUGACGACCAAAGAAAAAAUUAAAUAGAAUUUGAAGAACAAUUUUUGAAAUCAUGAACAUUUUUGGAAAAUUCAGAACAUUUUCUAAAAACCCAGAUUCUGUUUUUAAAAAAGAAAAAACAAUUUCCGACCUUUAAGAACAUUUUUUGUAAACUCCGUAUAUUUGUUUUAGAAUAUAGAACAUAUUUUAAAAAAGAAAAAACAUUUUUUGUGUUUGAAGAACAAAUUUUGAAAAUCCCGAACAUUUUUGGAAAUCCAGAACAUUGUUGUAACGGAAACAGAAAAAUUUGGAAGUGUGAACAAGUUUUUAAAAGCAUGAACAUAUUUUAAAUCUUGAGAACGAAUUUUGAAAAUGAGAACAAUUUUGCCAAUCCUGAACAAAUUCAUAAACGUGGACAUUUUUUGAAAAUAGCAACUUAUUCGGAAUUUUGGUAAAAAAAUUUAAAAAACAAGAUUUUCUUUAAAAACAUUAUAAAAAAUCUAGAACAUUUCUAGAAUCCAGAUUUUUUUUGAAAUUGCAUAACAUUUUAUUGAAAAUCAAGAACAUUUUCCUGAAAAUAAAAUUAUUUUUCGAAUUUGAAGAACAUUUUUUGAAAACUCCUACAUUUUUCGUAAAAUUCAAAACUUUUUUGAAAAUCUGGAACAUUUUUUUGACAAAAAACAGAAAUAUUUGAAUAAAUGUUUUUGAAAACCCAUUACAUUUUUUGAAAAUUCAGAAUGUUUUCCUAAAAAACAAAAGCAUUUUUCAAAUUUGAAGAACAAUUUUUGAAAAUCACGAACAUUUUUGAGAAUGCGGAACUUUUUUAAAAAAUCCAGAACAUGUUUGAUACAGAAAUAAAAAAAAGAAACAAAGAAGAAUAAAGAAAAAUUAAAACGAUAAAAAAUAAAAAACUAGUUCAGGAACCUUUUAGAAAGUUUCCAAAACUUGAAAAAACCGACUGAUAAAGCCUAGAAGGUUCCCCAAACCAGGAUCCCCGCAACCGGGCUGUCCCAAAUCGCAGCGCCCACUCGUCAUCCUAUACGAAGCCUCCUGACGCAAUGAGCGGCAAAUAGCGUUUUCCCAGUCCUAUAGGGGAUGAUGUAGUGUGCAUCUAUAAAGAGAGAAAAAAAUGCAGCUUGAUGGGCUUGGCUAUCGCUAGCACAAUCGCUGGUUCUCACAUAAAAAAAGAUUCCUCGUCUUACAAUAGUUGGUCCUGCAGCAGGCUGAUGGCCGCUCUAGUGGUCUUGUGAUGUGUUGUUGUUUAGCAGUUGGCGCUGCCGUCGUGCCGCCGUUGUUUAGGUUCAUCGAUUGACGCCCACUCGGCCUUUUGAAAGUACGUACCAGUAUACAUGGUUUAGGACUGUUAAGGUGUGCAAUUGCUGAUGUACUAUUUUUUAAUUGUAGGUACCAUAUUUCUUUUCUCACUUUUAUGUCAUUAAACUUAGGACGUUGAUAAAUACCGCACGUGUGGUUGGAGCAACAAUCGACCAUACACCUCAUGUCUCCAAAGUGAGUCAUGUCACCGCUCACAUGUACAAAACUGAUGAUGUCAUCAGGAAUCUUUCGUCGUUUCAGUUUUUAAAGUGUUUUAAUUUUUUAAAUAAAAAAUAUGAUUGAAAAACCAUUUUCACCUUUGAAUCCGUCGCCGCGAGAUCCUCGAAACAAGAUCUCGUAUCGACAUGUUUUGACGAAUUUUCAAUCAUAUUUUUAUUGUACAUAAAUUGCCAUCAUGAUUACACUGAACUUGUGAUGAUAUAUUUUAACUACCUUUUCUUCUAUGUUCAAAGUAAAUGUUGACAUGUUAUAAAAAAGGAAUCAAGAAACUAAACUUGCCAUGACGAAUUACUAAAAUUUACCAUGAUUCAUGAAAUAAUUUUGACAUGGUUUAUAAAUUAAAAGAAAUAUAUUGUCAAUUACUUUUGAAAUGCAUGGUUUAUGGCUCAAAUUUGCCAUGAACCAUAAACUAAAGUUACCUUGAUGAAUUACUUACGUUUGUCAAGAUUCAUGCACUAAAAAAAUUCAUGGUUCAUACAAAAACUAUUUUCCAUGUUCAAAAUAUUAGAAUUGCCAUGGUCCAAAUAGUAAAAUUGCCAUGAUCUAUAUGCUCAAUUUGCCAUGUUGAAUUACUAAAAAUUGCCAGGAUCGAUGAAUUAAAUUUGACGUGGUUAUUUACUAAAAUUAGUCAUGGUCAAUUAAUAAAAUUGCAGUGCAGAGUAGUUAAAAUACAAUGGUAGCUUUAAAUAUAGAACAAAAAACUAGAUGAAACAUUUCAUAGCAGAUUUAUUGUAAAUACCAUGGCAACUUUAAUGUAGACAUCAUGCCAACUGUUGGUCCACAAGAAGGUUCUGGAAACAUAUCAAUAUGGGAUCUAGUUUUAAAGAUCUCGUCGAGAUGGAUUUAAUGAUGAAAACAAAUUUUUAAUUGAAUUUUUCUUUCAAAGAUAAAACAUUUGAAGUCCAAAAAACCAAAAAAUUCGACUGAUGUCAUAUGUCUGAUGUGGCAAGAUGGAUGGUUAUGAAGGCUUGUAGACCAGCAUGUUGCUUCGUGCCACACGUGUGCCCAUUAUCAUUUAGGUAGACUUGAAAUGUUGCCUCCAAAGUCACCCUGGGCAUUUGGGUACCCAAACCCGAACCGAACCGAAUUACCCGAAUUGUCGGGUAAUUCGGAUAUCGGUAAGGGUUCGGUUCUCAUUUCUUGACUAUUUGGUUUUCGGGUUAGGGUUCGGGUUAGAGUUUGGAAAACCCGAAAUAUCCAUACUACCCAAAUUAUUCAUACUGUUUUAAAUUUUCAUGCUAUUAUUACACUAACUUGUUACCCAUACUAACUAAAAUACCUAUUACCAAAAAUACCCAUACUAUCCGAGUUAUUCAUAUCAAAAGUUGAUGUAUGCUCAGAAUAUUUUGGGUACCCGAAUUACCCGAACCGAAAUUUUGGGUAAUUUGGGUUCGGUUAUUUUUUUUGAUAGAAACAAUUUUGGUUCCCAUUUUUGAAUACCCAGAUUACCCAUAAACCGAACUACCCGAAUCGAAAUAACCAAAAUACCCAAACGCCCAGGCUGACUCCAAAGUAUUGGAGCCCAUGUCAUCGAGUUUGCCUUAGGGCCCUCAGAAACAUAGAGCCGGACCUGCCUUCGAUUUCGACGAGUCAACGCUACGUGAGUUGGCUCUAAGUGCAUGUACAAUGGUUGAUAAGGUAGUCUUAUCUUAAAUCUUACAUGUAAUUUACAGAUGAUAAAAAAAAUCUACAAUGGAUCAUCUCUUAACCUUAUCUUCAAUAACUAGAUAUUUCUAAAAACAUGAUGAGACAUAUUAUGUUAAGAAAUCAUUUCUUGUCUUCUAUUAAAUAAAAGAAGACAAACUUUUUAUGAGUUCUCUGUCCUUCACCUCAUUAUUUAUCCUACAUGGUGUACUUAAGAUACCAUCAUUAUGCAUGUUCUAAGGAUGCAAGUGGCGCGGGCAGUCCGCAAGCGGGCAGUCCGCAAGACCACAAAACCGAAAUGGACACCGACAAUAUAGACCGCGUAACUUAACUGGGAUUUUGCACUUGUAUGAGUGACUAUAAAUAAGUAUACAUAACAUGACAACAUCAUCUAGCGAGUAGUUGGCUAUACUAUUAACCGUUUUCUUAGCAUUAUGCUGUCGUAGUCCCAUGCACACGAUAUGAUAUAUCUAGCAAAUACCGUCGACUAUGGCACGGCUAACAAAGCUUUAUUUGACAAGAGUUUGCGCUGCUUUUCUUUAUUGAUGUAUCCAACUCCGUGUAGUGAGUAGCGUAUGGUAUUCUUGCUGCUUGCAAGCUAGCAGCGUAGCGACGCCCGUAUCUGCCACGUACAGGUUCGGAAAAGCAAUUCUCUCCGACUACAAAACUCUAGGCCUAUGUGGGGAGGGAGUCAGGGAUAUGAAACAUUGGGUUUGGGUCAAGGUUUGGGUCGAGUACGGACAUUGGUUUGGCCACGUUCGAUGAUAGGCUUGUGUCAAGGCAGGUUUGUAGCUAGCUACGCGGUGGCGUUCAGGUCUUGCGGAGGAGUGGGCAACUCACGUAUAAAGACCGGAUCGUCAGGGAUGCGUAGGUGGGGUGACCAUGGCGAGCGUGGGUAGUUGUAAAUCGAGUCAGUUGCAACAGUUUGUACUGAGAAGAAAGGAGGUCGUUCGGCUGCCAAAGGUGUUCAUCGUCGUAACAGGGAGGGCACGGAAGGUAGGAGAGCAUUGAUCCGAACUUGUACCCGAUUACCGGUAUUGAUCCGAGUGUCCAUCCUAUCUCUUUGUUUUUUCAAACGGAGGAAAAAAUAUUGCACUAUUGAUUAAUUAAACAAAAAUAAUUGUUCAGUUAAUUUACGAUAACCGGGCAAAAAGCAAUACAAACUCACUCAACAGGAAACACCAUGGCCAGGUAGACAGGCCCGCCAAAUGCUCCCAACACAUAAUAACUACAACCCUGAAAACUUCUACAUUGCAACGGAAUCCCCGGCGAGAAAACCGACAACAACAACUCAGAAUACCAAAGCCACGUCGACAACAUGAAAAACCAAGCACAAUCCAUCAUGAAAUCGCAGAUGUCUUCCCUUUCGCAUCAUCAACCAUAGGAACCUUUAGUUUCUCACUUGACAGAGCUGAAUCUUGUCCCUGAUCCGAGGACAUCAAUGUGUCCACCUUCAUAUGCUCCAUUGGUAGACUCAUACAUGGAUCCCUAAGCUCAGAGCUGAUCUGCAACACCGGAACCACGAGCACGACAAUGGACUCGCCCUCAAUGGAGGACAACAUAGGAGGGGAGGUAGGCAUCGAUGAUGACUUGUCUCCAAUACAAGGGGAGAAAGAGCCAUAUAACUCCACCCUCCUAUCCUCCGUCGAGCAAACACCGUCUGCACAAAGAGAGUGCGACGUCGGAGAGGUAUGUAACAAAGUAUUAAUCAACCACAAAAUCUAGCUGCUGCAUGCCGUGUAUGUAGGAGGUAGCGAAGGAGAGUGGCAGAGAGAGAGUGGCGAUGCCGCCCGAGCCUGGCGAGCCACCCAAGUCCUCGCCGGGGCACGGUCCCAUCCCAGCCCCUGCCCGCUCUCGCCCAUCCCCAGCCGGACCNCCCAUAGUUGCCCCGAUCCACGAGCCGCCGUUACACCACCACUUCGGGUUGUAAUGUUCCUCAGUUCCUGCUAGCUGAUUUCUCUCCCAAAAUCUGACUGUAACUUGUACCUAAAUAACGGUAUUGAUCCGAGUAUCCGUCCCAUCUACUUGUUUGGGUCGUAACACCAAGCUAGUGGCCAGACUACUUAGCCCGUUAUUUUGUUUUUGUUAUGUUUGAGAGACCGUGUACAUUCUUCAGAUUCAUAUAGCUACACUCUUAUCCAUUCCCAGGUAGUAUUGGGUAAUCUUGAAACUAAGGAAAUAUUUUUUUUGCUCUGGACGUCCUUGAACAUCUCACCAGUCUUCACGCAAUCCACGUUCAACUACUCACAUCAUAAUGUUUUCACCAUUCUUCUUUCUUUUCUUUUUGUAAGAGAAAAGAAAUAAUGGAAGCAUAAUGGUCACAUGAUUUGUGCCGUGUGCACUCCAAUGAUAAAACAACUUUUGAAUGACUUGUUCAACACUAUCUGCAUGUUCAGCUGAGGAAAAAAAAACUAUAUACAUAUACCUACUAUAUAUACUAACCUACCUUGUGAACAAGGAUGUCAAAAGACUAUUAACGUAAUGAUUUUGUAUUUGUUUUCCUUCAUAUUAGUUUUAGUCCAUCAUAUACUCUGAAAUAUUGGAGGAAAACAAAACAGCAUGGUAAACACAUACUUUUCGAGGCGGCGCCAAGAUAUUUGUAAAUUUUAGACAGAAGAUACUCAUAUUGACAUGUGCCCACAUGAUUUAGCACAUAUACCAUGGCGCUUGGGAGCCUAUUGACGUGGAUACGGUGAACAGCCUCUAUGGCAUUCAUUGGUAUUGCCCCACUCCGAGGUCUUUCGCGGCGUCAACUAUAGCAAAAAUCCUUGUCGUCGAUGGUGUAUGUGAGACAGAUUGCCCUGAGGACUGAGACCAAAGGCCGUAGCAUCUCUCUACCUGUACAUGACCGUCAAUGCAGUUAAAGAAGACAAUGUAUGUUCAUUGCCGUAUAUGUCUGCCUACCCAUGAUAACAUCUAAUUACUUAGUUACAUUUCAAUCAAGUAUAUUUCAUAGCCAAAAUAUAUUAAUUAAUAUAAUCACCUAAAUCACUAAGCUCCCUGUGGCGUGGAGCGCUGAGAAUCGGUUGACUCCAAUCCAUUUCAUUGCUAACUCCAAU
rnacentral:lncRNA from 1 species